rnacentral:piRNA from 1 species
UUUUACUAGCAAAUGCUAUGA